GCCAUUAUAGCUCAGUUGGUAGAGCAUUCCUAUGGUAAGGGAAAGGUCGUGGGUUCAAUUCCCACUAAUGGCUCCA
rnacentral:tRNA from 1 species